UAUAUAUAUAUAUAUAUAUAUAUAUUUCUGUCGGGGUCAGAUAAGCUUGAUGAAGUGUGAGCUGCGGCGCGGUGCUGCAGCUCUGCACGGAUAGGAUUUUCCUAAAUGAUGACACUCUUUAACAUGGAGACUAAUAGAUACUUUAUGUCGUCGCGUCUUUUCGGUUAUUUUGUUGUUGUUUUUCCCCCGCAGUAGUGUAAAUUCAAAGCGCAAAGGGAAUGUGUAGACCCGCUGGAUUUAUUGCCACACUAUGGUGUAACAAAUAAACCUGCACGUUUUAUAGAGGACAAUUCAUACGAACGAUUAGGUUAGAUAUGGGAUAUAACAUAGAAUGAAUAAAUUAACUUAUAUUUAUCUGCUGUCGCGCAAGUCACUACAGGAUAUAUAUAUAUAUAUAUAUAUAUAUAUAUAUAUAUAUAUAUAUAUAUAUAUACACACACACACACACAGCGUUUUUACAUUAAUAAAGAAUUAGUUUUAAAACAGUUUUUACUGACAAAAGUAAGUGCUACAAAAUAAUAGUAAUAUUAAUAAUAAUAAUUUCCAGACAUGAUUCCCUCCGGAUCACAAAUUACCGCCUGUUCUAUUUCCCCUUUAAGAGCGCGAGCUCGGCAUAGGAGGCGGGGUCAAAACCCAGCGACUGCAUUCCAGCCAAUCAAAGCCGCCGACCUCUACAGCUAGGCGUCCGAUUACGAAAAGGGGGAAGGGGAGGUGCUUGGUGCACGUGAGAGACUGAGACGUGAGCGCGGUUUCUAUGGCAACCGUUCGUCUUGACCUCCAUGUCCCCCGUGCUCGUCAGGGAAGGCCGGUUUCCAUGGAAACGAUCGUAUCUCUGCGCGCGGCUCGCUUCCCGUAAAGUGAUCUGGUCGGAAAGCGGCCCGUUCUUCCAGAGUGUGUCGGAAAAUUAUAAAGAGGGCGAGAGAGAGAGAGGGAGAGAGAGAGAGAGAGAGAGAGAAGAUGGCGUUUGAGAUACAAGGCUAUUAAAAAGCUCACAUUAACCUCACAGACUGCUCUCGCGCGCUGUUGUGUGCGUAUUGAGGUGCAGGGCGUGUGUGAAAGCGCCUGAGGAACUGAGAGUGCGAGCUCUCCACCACAAAUACGCCCCAGACUGUGAAAAUGCUCAAUUUAUAUAUGUUACAUACUGUAAGUCCGGGGGAAAUGAACGAACCUUAUGUUUGUCCAUCAUUUAAAGGGACGCAGUAUAGUUUAAUAUUAAAUCACACUUUUUUGUUUUUAUACCAACAAAAAAAAAGAAACACACUUCCUCAAGACCGUACAAACUUAUUGAACUGAUUCUAGUUAUUUAUUUUGUGUGUGUGUGUGUGUGUGUGUGUGUGUGUGUGUGAAUGUUUUAAAUCUGCUUUGUUUUUACUAGGCUUGUUAUCAGGAAAACGUCAUUUUUGUCUUUAGCCCCGCCCCUUUCCUACCACAUAAAGUGUCAUAUCCACAUCUGCUUAAAAUCCUCUUUCAAAUUUUAGUGUUCUGCAGAUGUGCAAAUGUUUUUUCAAUCGCAGGAACUUUGGUCUGAUUUUUCUUUCAGCUCGAUAACACAACAGUCUGUCUUCCUUUUAUUUUGCUUUUGUAUUGUUAUGCUCUUCAGCCCACAUGUUCGCAGCAGCCACACUCGCUGAGGAGGAGCACUGCAUAUGCUCAGGAUCUGAAUAUGGGCUAUAUAAUCUGUUUAUGAGGCUGAAGGAAUAAAACACCCUGUAACAGGGUGUGCUGUUACAGGAAAGUAAUCAACUACAGUAAUGUGAUGUGAAGAGUCAGGGCCAGUACCAUCCCUAAGUGAAUUAUUUUCCAAUAACGUAAAUAUGACAGAAAAAAUGCAGUUCUGUUACUGAGAAACUGGAAAGACUCGUGGCGGGAAACGUACUGGCUGUUACAACUCGCUGACACCUGAGACUCCUUCCAGAAACGUUAAAUAAAUGUCCCCUUACAGAAAGUUUCACCCUAUCAGUGAUGACAUGUUUUUAUUAGAUAACAACAAACAUAUGUUUAUGAUUAGUUAGAUUAUGAGCAGUGUCCAAUGUACAAGCAGUGUAGAAACAGUAAUAUAUUAGAACAUGAUCGUUAUUGUCAGAGCUGCUGUUAUAGAAAACGAAUCAACACUUUCUGACCAAUCAGAAUAGGGAAUUCAACAGUGCUGUGGUAUAAGCAUCUUUAAUAUGUUGGCCUCCAUCUCUUUUCAUGUUAACUGAGGAAACAUGGAGGCGCGAGGACGUUGUUCUGUUCUCUUACUGAUUUGAAAAAGCAACAUUAAACAUUUUUCACCAGGAUGCUAGUGUGAGAGGCUUACGUCCAGGGACAUUAUUUCUAAUCUCAUAUUUGAGGUUUAGAAUAACAACGGACGUAGCGUUGUUAGCUAGUGCAUAACAUCACUCGCUGUCUCCCUCUCUGUUUUGCUUCCUCUGCUCUCUCUUCAGUUUCCUUCUAGGAGCUUUAUCUGGGAUCUCGACUUCCUGUGACCUGUCGAGACUCAUCUGCAUACCAUGGGCUCUGCGUCUGUCGGUGCGCGUGCGUGCGUGCGUGCGUGCGUGUGUGUGUGUGUGUGUGUGUGUGUGUUGGGGGGGGGGGGGGGGGGGUGUAAUUGGUAGAGAUGCGGAGAAUGGAAGAAAGGGGGAGCUGUAUCUCUCUCUCGCAAACACACACACACAUACACACACACGCAGACAGCAGAGCUUUAUGUUUCAAGCCUAGCCAAAUUUUCUUAGCACACAUUUUUUUUUAAAUUACGGCGUUAUUUUGGGUAGGUUUAUAUACUAGAUCUCCAUUUCUCAUUCGUCAGUAUGCUAUAUAAAAUAUAUUCCCUUUAAAUGAAAUUAAGAAUCACAAUUAAAAGUGUAUGAUAAAAUAUGUAUGUCUAUUUCAAUGGAAGUACUGGGAAAAAAAAAUUCCAUUCUAGUUCACUCCUUGUCUGAAUGUGCAAUGUUACUGCAUGUGGUACAUAACCUACCAAUAAAAAUACUGUAACUCA